rnacentral:rRNA from 1 species
CAGCACCUCAAGUGGUCAGGAUGAUUAUUGGGCCUAAAGCAUCCGUAGCCUGCUUUGUCAGUUUUCGGUUAAAUCCAUACGCUCAACGUAUGGGCUGCCGGGAAUACUACAAGGCUAGGGAGUGGGAGAGGUAGACGGUACUCGGUAGGAAGGGGUAAAAUCCUUUGAUCUAUUGAUGACCACCUGUGGCGAAGGCGGUCUACCAGAACACGUCCGACGGUGAGGGAUGAAAGCUGGGGGAGCAAACCGGAUUAGAUACCCGAGUAGUCC